rnacentral:rRNA from 1 species
AUUGAACGCUGGCGGCGUGCCUAACACAUGCAAGUCGAGCGGUAACAGGUGUAGCAAUACAUGCUGACGAGCGGCGAACGGGUGAGUAAUGCUUCGGAAUCUACCCAAUGGUGGGGAAUAACCAGCCGAGAGGUUGGCUAAUACCGCAUACGUCCCACGGGAGAAAGCAGGGGAUCGCAAGACCUUGCGCCAAUGGAUGAGCCGAAGUCGGAUUAGCAGUUGGUAGGGUAACGGCCUACCAAGGCGACGAUCCGUAGCUGGUCUGAGAGGACGACCAGCCACACUGGGACUGAGACACGGCCCAGACUCCUACGGGAGGCAGCAGUGGGGAAUAUUGGACAAUGGGGAAACCCUGAUCCAGCGACGCCGCGUGUGUGAAGAAGGCCUGCGGGUUGUAAAGCACUUUUAGUGGGGAUGAAAUGUUCAGGGUUAACACCUCUGGAUUUUGACCUAACCCACAGAAAAGCACCGGCUAACUCUGUGCCAGCCGCCGCCGU